AGUGUAAGAAUGCAAAUAGGUAAUGUAAAAUGUACCUCUGAGUGUUCUUUUUCUGUGUUCCUUCUUUAUGUCAAUAUUAUGUCAAUAGUCUAGAGAAGUUUUUGAUGUGAUGCGCUAAAUAUUCUGACUCAUAAGAGAGCUCAGCAUUGGGUCCAUCAUUUACCAGUUCAAUCCUGUCAAAAGCUAUUGCAUCCUUCAUCUUUCUUGACCCAGGUUUGAUUUAUUUUUCCAUAGUUUUGGUUCUGAUAUGGCUUUGAAACAGUGCUGAUUUUCCCAGGAAGCCUUAAGAACCAAGGCAUCUGCUUCGUGCUGUUUGGGCAGCUCAAACAACUGCAGAGGGAAUGGAAUAAUCUCCCACUCUGACCUCUGACAGCAUCACAUUUCCACUGCCUGCAACCUGCCCCCAUCACGGUGCCCUGUACGUGUAGCACUGCAGGAAGAGCUGGGGAAACUCCUGUUUUCUGGGCCAUGACCUAUGAAGCUGUAUGAUUUUAGGGAAGACCAGACUUCCCUUGUUCCAGAAACUUGGCUUGACUUAGGAGGAAACCCCAUAACUGUGCCUUAAAACUUGAAUUGCAUCAGUGUGGCAAAACAGAGUGUGAUUUGGCGAUUUUGCACCUCUGGAUUUUG
rnacentral:lncRNA from 1 species